CCUACGGGGGGCAGCAGUGGGGAAUAUUGGACAAUGGGGGCAACCCUGAUCCAGCCAUGCCGCGUGUGUGAAGAAGGCCCUCGGGUUGUAAAGCACUUUCAGUGAGGAAGAACGCCUGGUGGUUAAUACCCAUCAGGAAAGACAUCACUCACAGAAGAAGCACCGGCUAACUCCGUGCCAGCAGCCGCGGUAAUACGGAGGGUGCGAGCGUUAACCGGAAUUACUGGGCGUAAAGCGCGCGUAGGUGGCUUGAUAAGCCGGUUGUGAAAGCCCCGGGCUCAACCUGGGAACGGCAUCCGGAACUGUCAAGCUAGAGUGCAGGAGAGGAAGGUAGAAUUCCCGGUGUAGCGGUGAAAUGCGUAGAGAUCGGGAGGAAUACCAGUGGCGAAGGCGGCCUUCUGGACUGACACUGACACUGAGGUGCGAAAGCGUGGGUAGCAAACAGGAUUAGAUACCCUGGUAGUC
rnacentral:rRNA from 1 species